rnacentral:rRNA from 1 species
GACGAACGCUGGCGGCGUGCUUAACACAUGCAAGUCGAACGGAGUGGCGAACGGGUGAGUAACACGUGGGUGACCUGCCCUGCACUUCGGGAUACGCCUGGGAAACUGGGUCUAAUACCGGAUAGUGGGGGAUGGGACCGCGGCCGAUCAGCUUGUUGGGGGGGUAAUGGCCAACGAAGGGGGCGACGGGUAGCCGGCCUGGGAGGGGGGACGGCCACAUUGGGAAUGAGGCACUGCCCAGACUCCUACGGGAUGCAGCAGUGGGGAAUAUUGCACAAUGGGAGGAAGCCUGAUGCAGCGACGCCGCGUGGUGGAUUACGGCCUUCGGGUUGUAAACUCCUUUCACCAUCGACGCGGUAGAUGGAGACGAAGCACCGGCUAACUACGUGCCAGCAGCCGCGGUAAUUC